GAUGAACGCUGGCGGCGUGCCUAAUACAUGCAAGUCGAGCGACCAGACGAGGAGCUUGCUCCUCUGACGUUAGCGGCGGACGGGUGAGUAACACGUGGAUAACCUACCUAUAAGACUGGGAUAACUUCGGGAAACCGGAGCUAAUACCGGAUAAUAUAUUGAACCGCAUGGUUCAAUAGUGAAUGACGGUUUUGCUGUCACUUAUAGAUGGAUCCGCGCCGCAUUAGCUAGUUGGUAAGGUAACGGCUUACCAAGGCAACGAUCCGUAGCCGACCUGAGAGGGUGAUCGGCCACACUGGAACUGAGACACGGUCCAGACUCCUACGGGAGGCAGCAGUAGGGAAUCUUCCGCAAUGGGCGAAAGCCUGACGGAGCAACGCCGCGUGAGUGAUGAAGGUCUUCGGAUCGUAAAACUCUGUUAUUAGGGAAGAACAAAUGUGUAAGAAACUAUGCACGUCUUGACGGUACCUAAUCAGAAAGCCACGGCUAACUACGUG
rnacentral:rRNA from 1 species